rnacentral:rRNA from 1 species
GAUUUCUGGUUCGAUGCGUUUGGCCCUCUCGGAGCAAUCCGGCGUGCGUGCCGAUGCGCGUCUGCCAUCCCUUGUAGAGAACGUUUCUACCCUUCACUGGGCCGGAUUCGCAAUCUACAUCUUUUACUUUGAAAAAAUUAGAGUGUUUAAAGCAGGCUUACGCUAUGAAUACAUUAGCAUGGAAUAAUAAUUUAGGACUUCGGUUCUAUUUUGUUGGUUUCUAGGACUGAGGUAAUGAUUGAUAGGGAUAGUUGGGGGUGCUAGUAUUCCGCGGCCAGAGGUGAAAUACUUGGAUUCGUGGAAGACUAACUACUGCGAAAGCAUU